rnacentral:misc_RNA from 1 species
GAUGAAGAACGUAGCGAAAUGCGAUACUUGGUGUGAAUUGCAGAAUCCCGCGAAUCAUCGAGUUUUUGAACGCAAGUUGCGCCCGAAGCCAUUCGGCCGAGGGCACGUCUGCCUGGGUGUCACGCAUCGUUGCCCCCCCAAACUCCGGUUCGGGCGGGGCGGAAGUUGGCCUCCCGUGCGUGCCUGCGCGCGCGGUUAGCCCAAAAGCGAGUCCUCGGCGACGAGCGCCACGACAAUCGGUGGUUUUUUUACCCUCGUUCCUCGUCGUGCGUGUCCCGUCGCCCGAACGCGCUCUUGUGACCCUCACGCGUCGCCUCGGCGGCGCUCCCAACGCGACCCCAGGUCAGGCGGGACUACCCGCUGAGUUUAAGCAUAUCAAUAGCGGAGGA